UUUAAAAACUGGUUCUCAUGUGAUCACUGAAGUUAAGCAAUGUUGUGCUUGCUCAGUUCCUAGAUGAGUGACCACUUGGGAAUACCAGCUG